UGGGGAAUAUUGCACAAUGGGCGCAAGCCUGAUGCAGCCAUGCCGCGUGUAUGAAGAAGGCCUUCGGGUUGUAAAGUACUUUCAGCGAGGAGGAAGGCGUUGUGGUUAAUAACCGCAGCGAUUGACGUUACUCGCAGAAGAAGCACCGGCUAACUCCGUGCCAGCAGCCGCGGUAAUACGGAGGGUGCAAGCGUUAAUCGGACUUACUGGGCGUAAAGCGCACGCAGGCGGUCUGUCAAGUCGGAUGUGAAAUCCCCGGGCUCAACCUGGGAACUGCAUCCGAAACUGGCAGGCUAGAGUCUUGUAGAGGGGGGUAGAAUUCCAGGUGUAGCGGUGAAAUGCGUAGAGAUCUGGAGGAAUACCGGUGGCGAAGGCGGCCCCCUGGACAAAGACUGACGCUCAGGUGCGAAAGCGUGGGGAGCAAACA
rnacentral:rRNA from 1 species